AGUGAACGCUGGCGGUAGGCCUAACACAUGCAAGUCGAACGGCAGCACAGUAAGAGCUUGCUCUUACGGGUGGCGAGUGGCGGACGGGUGAGGAAUACAUCGGAAUCUACUUUUUCGUGGGGGAUAACGUAGGGAAACUUACGCUAAUACCGCAUACGACCUACGGGUGAAAGCAGGGGAUCUUCGCACCUUGCGCGAUUGAAUGAGCUGAUGUCGGAUUAGCUAGUUGGCGGGGUAAAGGCCCACCAAGGCGACGAUCCGUAGCUGGUCUGAGUGGAUGAUCGGCCACACUGGAACUUAGACACGGUCCAGGCUCCUACGGGACGGAGCAGUGUCGAAUAUUGGGCAGUGGGCGCAAGCCUGAUCCAGCCAUACCGCGUGGGUGAAGACGGCCUUCGGGUUGUAAAGCCCUUUUGUUGGGAGAGAAAAGCAGCAGGUUAAUACCCCGCUGUUCUGACGGUACCCAGAGAAUAAGCACCGGCUAACUUCGUG
rnacentral:rRNA from 1 species